rnacentral:pre_miRNA from 1 species
AUUGUACUCCAUCCGUUUUAAAGAAUUUGUCUUAGAUUUGUAUCAAUAUGAAUGUAUCUAGUCACGUUUUAGUAUUUAGAUACAUUCAAUUAUAGACAAACCUAAGACAAGAAUUUUGAGAGGAAAGAGUACUUC